UCCCUCCCUGGAAGGGGUGAUGUGUCAGCACCAAACCCAAGAUAAGGACUCUGCAUUUGCGUGUGAUGAAACUCACUGAGUGCUCUGACCUUCCAUGGUGCGGG
rnacentral:snoRNA from 1 species